GGCGGACUGGAAAGUUGGGGGUGAAAUCCCGGGGCUCAACCCCGGAACUGCCUCCUAAAACUCCCAGUCUUGAGUUCGAGAGAGGUGAGUGGAAUUCCGAGUGUAGAGGUGAAAUUCGUAGAUAUUCGGAGGUAACACCAGUGGCGAAGGCGGCUCACUGGCUCGAUACUGACGCUGAGGUGCGAAAGUGUGGGGAGCAAACAGGAUUAGAUACCCCUGGUAG
rnacentral:rRNA from 1 species